AUUCCAGCUCCAAUAGCGUAUAUUAAUGUUGUUGCAGUUAAAAAGCUCGUAGUUGGAUUUCUGAUUAGUUGAACCGGUCAUAGUCUUCGGACAUGUACUGUGUGUUCUAACUAUUCAUCCUUGGGCGGAAAGUUUCGGUUAUUCAUUUAACUGGAUCGGGAAACCCAUCUUUUACUGUGAAAAAAUUAGAGUGUUUAAAGCAGGCAAUCGCCUUGAAUACAUUAGCAUGGAAUAAUAAGAUAGGACUUUGGUACUAUUUUGUUGGUUUGCAUACCGAAGUAAUGAUUAACAGGGACAGUUGGGGGUAUUCGUACUUCGUUGUCAGAGGUGAAAUUCUUGGAUUUCCGAAAGACGAACUACUGCGAAAGCAUUUACCAAGGAUGUUUUCAUUG
rnacentral:rRNA from 1 species